AUUGAACGCUGGCGGCAGGCCUAACACAUGCAAGUCGAACGAGUGGCGGACGGGUGAGUAAUGUCUGGGAAACUGCCCGAUGGAGGGGGAUAACUACUGGAAACGGUAGCUAAUACCGCAUACCAUCGGAUGUGCCCAGAGGGGAUUAGGUAGUAGGUGGGGUAACGGCUCACCUAGGCGACGAACCCGAGCUGGGCUGAGAGGAUGACCGGCCCCACUGGAACGGGGGAACGGUCCAGACUCCUACGGGAGGCAGCCGUGGGGAAUAUUUCAAAAUGGGCGCAAGCCUGAUGCAGCCAUGCCGCGUGUAUUAAGAAGGCCUUCGGGUUGGAAAGUACUUUCAGCGAGGAGGCGUUACUCGCAGAAGAAGCACCGGCUAACUCCGUGCCAGCAGCCGCGGGAAUUCC
rnacentral:rRNA from 1 species